rnacentral:rRNA from 1 species
GAUGAACGCUGGCGGCGUGCUUAACACAUGCAGGUCGAACGAGAAGUGAAGACGGAAACCUUCGGGCGGAAGGCUUUAUUUCGAGUGGCGGACGGGUGAGUAACGCGUGGGUAACCUGCCUCAUACAGGGGGAUAACAGUUGGAAACGACUGUUAAUACCGCAUAAGACCACAGCACCGCAUGGUGCGGGGGUAAAAACUCCGGUGGUAUGAGAUGGACCCGCGUUCGAUUAGCCAGUUGGCGGGGUAACGGCCCACCAAAGCGACGAUCGAUAGCCGAUCUGAGAGGAUGACCGGCCACAUUGGGACUGAGACACGGCCCAAACUCCUACGGGAAGCAGCAGUGGGGAAUAUUGCACAAUGGGGGAAACCCUGAUGCAGCGACGCCGCGUGAGUGAAGAAGUAUUUCGGUAUGUAAAGCUCUAUCAGCAGGGAAGAAAAUGACGGUACCUGAGUAAGAAGCCCCGGCUAACUACGUG